UAAAGUAUAUAAACGAUUCGAAUGACAUUUAGUCAGAUGUGCUGUGUGGAAACAGUUAUUAGCGUUGUAUAUACAGUUAAAAAAAUGCACAUGUGAUGUCAAAAUGUUGUUAAAGGUCACUUUUUAAAUGCUGUGCUAGGCUAUGCUAGCUGCUCACUGAGAUACGAGAAAGGAGCGCACCUGCACGCGCCACUCCUGCAGAAGCUGCGCCGGUGCACAGCUGCAAUCAAUCAGCACUCAUCACACCCGUCGUUGAUGAGCGUCCUGGGCUUCUUAAGCCAGUGCAGACCUGCGUUCCGGGCCAGAACGUAGUUUCCUGUUUUGUACACAGACUUCCGUUCUCGCGUCACAAGCUGUGUGUCUCGUCUCCCCGUCUCCCUGACUGCCUCUUGGAUCUCGACCUCCCGCCUGGACACAGACUUUUGACGCCUCGCUAUCGCCCCCGACUUCCUGCCUGUGCUCACAGACCUACGAGCCUGCCUCGCCCCUAUUGGACUUCCGCGCCUCUCGUUCAACACUACCGGUAACACACUACAGUUAAUUCACAUACACAUACAUACAUACAUACACACCCUUAUGGCUUAGUCACACU